rnacentral:rRNA from 1 species
UCGCUACCAUGCUGAAAACACCGGUUCUCGUCCGAUCACCGAAGUUAAGCAUCAUCUGGCGCGGUCAGUACUUGGGAGGGUAACCACCUCGGAACAACGCGUGCCGUU